UACGUAGGGUCCGAGCGUUGUCCGGAAUUAUUGGGCGUAAAGGGCUCGUAGGCGGUUUGUUGCGUCGGGAGUGAAAUCCUCCAGCUUAACUGGAGGCUUGCUUUCGAUACGGGCAGACUUGAGGUACUCAGGGGAGAAUGGAAUUCCUGGUGUAGCGGCGAAAUGCGCAGAUAUCAGGAGGAACACCGGUGGCGAAGGCGGUCUGCUGGGCCGUUGCUGACGCUGAGGCGCGACAGCGUGGGGAGCAAACGGG
rnacentral:rRNA from 1 species